rnacentral:siRNA from 1 species
AUAGCAUAUUCCAAAUUUUGUGCC